CCUACGGGUGGCAGCAGUGGGGAAUAUUGCACAAUGGGGGAAACCCUGAUGCAGCGACGCCGCGUGAGGGAAGAAGUAUUUCGGUACGUAAACUUCUAUCAGCAGGGAAGAAAAUGACGGUACCUGACUAAGAAGCCCCGGCUAACUACGUGCCAGCAGCCGCGGUAAUACGUAGGGGGCAAGCGUUAUCCGGAUUUACUGGGUGUAAAGGGAGCGUAGACGGUAGCGCAAGUCUGAAGUGAAAUCCCAGGGCUCAACCACGGAACUGCUUUUGAAACUGUGCAGCUAGAGUGCAGGAGAGGUAAGCGGAAUUCCUAGUGUAGCGGUGAAAUGCGUAGAUAUUAGGAGGAACACCAGUGGCGAAGGCGGCUUACUGGACUGUAACUGACGUUGAGGCUCGAAAGCGUGGGGAGCAAACAGGAUUAGAUACCCGAGUAGUC
rnacentral:rRNA from 1 species